rnacentral:rRNA from 1 species
AGAGUUUGAUCCUGGCUCAGGACGAACGCUGGCGGCGUGCCUAAUACAUGCAAGUCGAACGAGAAUUUCUUACACCGAGUGCUUGCACUCACCGUAAGAAAUUCGAGUGGCGGACGGGUGAGUAACACGUGGGUAACCUGCCCAAAAGAAGGGGAUAACAUUUGGAAACAAAUGCUAAUACCGUAUAACCAUGAUGACCGCAUGGUCAUUAUGUAAAAGGUGGUUCUGCUAUCGCUUUUGGAUGGACCCGCGGCGUAUUAACUAGCUGGUAGGGUAACGGCCUACCAAGGUGAUGAUACGUAGCCGAGUUGAGAGACUGAUCGGCCACAAUGGGACUGAGACACGGCCCAUACUCCUACGGGAGGCAGCAGUAGGGAAUCUUCCACAAUGGGCGCAAGCCUGAUGGAGCAACGCCGCGUGAAUGAAGAAGGUCUUCGGAUCGUAAAAUUCUGUUGUUAGAGAAGAAUAUGAGUAAUAGUAACUGAUUAUUCACUGACGGUAUCUAACCAGCAAGUCACGGCUAACUACGUGCCAGCAGCCGCGGUAAUACGUAGGUGGCAAGCGUUGUCCGGAUUUAUUGGGCGUAAAGGGAACGCAGGCGGUUUUUUAAGUCUGAUGUGAAAGCCUUCGGCUUAACCGGAGAUGUGCAUUGGAAACUGGAAGACUUGAGUGCAGAAGAGGAGAGUGGAACUCCAUGUGUAGCGGUGAAAUGCGUAGAUAUAUGGAAGAACACCAGUGGCGAAAGCGGCUCUCUGGUCUGUAACUGACGCUGAGGUUCGAAAGCAUGGGUAGCGAACAGGAUUAGAUACCCUGGUAGUCC